GCACUGCUAACGCGUCCCAAACAGGACGAAACAGAUGUCCAGUGC
rnacentral:hammerhead_ribozyme from 1 species